CAAAGGCUUCCUUCUGACCACCUGUUUCUGAGAGCAAGGACUGUUGUUUCAUGAUAAGACUCCCUUUAGAGUUUCGCCAAAGCUAUGUUAUGGCUUGGGCGGUAGGAAGUGUAUUUUAUGCUUGAAUGCUUUAAUGUUUAUCUGGAAUGGCUACGUGCAAGUCAGCCUUAUGCUCUAUUCCCUGAAAAUUAUAAAACUACACAAUUGGAUAAUAAACUUUGUCAGUCCACUAGAGGCUGUCCCUGAGUGUCCUUUUCAGAGUGCAGUUCUCCGAGCCAUACAACUGGCGCCCAACGUGGGGCUCGAAGCAGCAGACUGAUUUUGAAAUAGGGCCGCACUCCUGCAGAAGCGAGGCUCCUUUGGUUGGAAUUACAAGUAUAUUUGGUGAUUCAAUCCCUGCCCUGACAAACGUUCAGCUGAAAUAUGAGGCCAACUGCUUUGAUGUGGCUGUCAAUAGACGUUCAAACAGGAAUCUUCAACUUUCUGAUGAAAGGACUGGAAACAUUUAAAUCAAAAUUUCAAUUUUGAUGCAAAACGUGUAUGCAGCAUAUUAGUGUUAGCAAGGAAUCCAUCAUAAAAUUAUACUGAGGAUAUCUGGCGUCUGGUAAAGAAACAAAAGUUCUAAAGGAUAAAGCUAAUUCCCCAUAAUCAAAUUCACUCAAGUUGUGAAGACUUCAGCUUGGCACUUCAGAGCAUUCUUGCAUACACACUGACCACACUGCCUUCACUGGCGAGACCUGUGUUCAAUCCCUGGGU